rnacentral:rRNA from 1 species
GAUGAACGCUAGCGGCAGGCUUAAUACAUGCAAGUCGAACGGGAUUCGGGUAGCAAUACCUGAUGAGAGUGGCGCACGGGUGCGUAACGCGUAUGCAACUUACCUUUAACUGGGACACAACCCGCCGAAAGGCGAGCUAAUAUCCCAUAACAUUGCGAUGUGGCAUCACAUUGCAAUUAAAGCUCCGGCGGUUAUAGAUGGGCAUGCGUGACAUUAGCUAGUUGGUGAGGUAACGGCUCACCAAGGCUACGAUGUCUAGGGGUUCUGAGAGGAUUAACCCCCACACUGGUACUGAGACACGGACCAGACUCCUACGGGAGGCAGCAGUAAGGAAUAUUGGGCAAUGGACGCGAGUCUGACCCAGCCAUGCCGCGGUGAAGGAUGAAGGCCCUAUGGUUGUAAACGUUCUUUAUUACGGGAAAAAACCUUCGGUACGUGUACCGGAGCUGAUGGUACCGUAAGAAUAAGCAUCGG